rnacentral:rRNA from 1 species
UAAGAGGUCCCGCCUGCCCGGUGACUAUACGUUUAACGGCCGCGGUAUUUUGACCGUGCGAAGGUAGCGCAAUCACUUGUCCCUUAAAUGGGGACCUGUAUGAAAGGCAUCACGAGGGCUUGACUGUCUCCCCUUUAAAGUCAGUGAAAUUGAUCUCCCCGUGCAGAAGCGGGGAUAUGCUCGUAAGACGAGAAGACCCUGUGGAGCUUAAGACACAAGGUGGCCCCCGUCAAGCACCCCCUCCUAAAGGAAUACAAACUAAAUGGCCCCCGCCAGAGUGUCUUCGGUUGGGGCGACCGCGGGGAAAAACAAAACCCCCACAUGGAUCAGGGCCACAACUUAGCCCUACAACCUAGACCCCCAAGUCAAACCAACAGUAUUACUGACCACCAAAGAGCCGGCAAUGCCGAUUAACGGACCAAGUUACCCCAGGGAUAACAGCGCAAUCCCCUCCCAGAGCCCAUAUCGACUAGGGGGUUUACGACCUCGAUGUUGGAUCAGGACAUCCUGAUGGUGCAGCCGCUAUCAAGGGUUCGUUUGUUCAACG